rnacentral:rRNA from 1 species
GAGUUUGAUCAUGGCUCAGAACGUACGCUGGCGGCACGCCUAACACAUGCAAGUCGAACGAAGUAGCAAUACUUAGUGGCAGACGGGUGAGUAACAUGUAGGUAUCUACCCUUUGGCCUGGAAUAACACGAGGAAACUUGUGCUAAUACCGGAUAAGUCUUUACGGAGAAAGCUUUAUGCACCAUUGGAUGAGCCUGCACUUGAUUAGUUUGUUGGUGGGGUAAUGGCCUACCAAGACUGUGAUCAAUAGCUGAUUUGAGAGGAUGAUCAGCCACAUUGGGACUGAGACACGGCCCAAACUCCUACGGGAGGCAGCAGUGGGGAAUCUUGCACAAUGGAGGAAACUCUGAUGCAGCGAUGCCGCGUGAGUGAAGAAGGCCUUUGGGUUGUAAAGCUCUUUCGUCGGGGAAGAAAAUGACUGUACCCGAAUAAGAAGGUCCGGCUAACUUCGUGCCAGCAGCCGCGGUAAUACGAAGGGACCUAGCGUAGUUCGGAAUUACUGGGCUUAAAGAGUUCGUAGGUGGUUGAAAAAGUUGGUGGUGAAAUCCCAGAGCUUAACUCUGGAACUGCCACCAAAACUUUUCAGCUAGAGUAUGAUAGAGGAAAGCAGAAUUUCUAGUGUAGAGGUGAAAUUCGUAGAUAUUAGAAAGAAUACCAAUUGCGAAGGCAGCUUUCUGGAUCAUUACUGACACUGAGGAACGAAAGCAUGGGUAGCGAAGAGGAUUAGAUACCCUCGUAGUCCAUGCCGUAAACGAUGUGUGUUAGACGUUGGAAAUUUAUUUUCAGUGUCGCAGCGAAAGCGAUAAACACACCGCCUGGGGAGUACGACCGCAAGGUUAAAACUCAAAUGAAUUGACGGGGACCCGCACAAGUAGUGGAGCAUGUGGUUUAAUUCGAAGAUACGCGCAGAACCUUACCAACACUUGACAUGUUCGUCGCGACUCUAAGAGAUUAGAGUUUUCGGUUCGGCCGGACGAAACACAGGUGCUGCAUGGCUGUCGUCAGCUCGUGUCGUGAGAUGUUGGGUUAAGUCCCGCAACGAGCGCAACCCUCACUUUUAGUUGCCAUCAUUAAGUUGGGCACUCUGAAAGAACUGCCAGUGAUAAGCUGGAGGAAGGUGGGGAUGACGUCAAGUCCUCAUGGCCCUUACGUGUUGGGCUACACACGUGCUACAAUGGUAUCUACAACAGGAAGCAAGGCUGCGAGGUCAAGCAAAUCCUUAAAAGAUACCUCAGUUCGGAUUGCACUCUGCAACUCGAGUGCAUGAAGCUGGAAUUACUAGUAAUCGUGGAUCAGCGUGCCACGGUGAAUGCGUUCCCGGGUCUUGUACACACCGCCCGUCACGCCAUGGGAGUUGGUUCUACCUUAAGGCAAGGUUUAAAACCCUUGACCACGGUAUAGUCAGCGACUGGGGUGAAGUCGUAACAAGGUAACC